rnacentral:rRNA from 1 species
GACGAACGCUGGCGGCGUGCUUAACACAUGCAAGUCGAACGGAAAGGCCCUGCUUUUGUGGGGUGCUCGAGUGGCGAACGGGUGAGUAACACGUGAGUAACCUGCCCUUGACUUUGGGAUAACUUCAGGAAACUGGGGCUAAUACCGGAUAGGAGCUCCUGCUGCAUGGUGGGGGUUGGAAAGUUUCGGCGGUUGGGGAUGGACUCGCGGCUUAUCAGCUUGUUGGUGGGGUAGUGGCUUACCAAGGCUUUGACGGGUAGCCGGCCUGAGAGGGUGACCGGCCACAUUGGGACUGAGAGACGGCCCAGACGCGUACGGGAGGCAGCAGUGGGGAAUAUUGCACAAUGGGCGGAAGCCUGAUGCAGCAACGCCGCGUGCGGGAUGACGGCCUUCGGGUGGUAAACCGCUUUCGCCUGUGACGAAGCGUGAGUGACGGUAAUGGGUAAAGAAGCACCGGCUAACUACGUG